AAUAUUGGGCAAUGGGGGAAACCCUGACCCAGCGACGCCGCGUGAAGGAUGAAGGCCUUCGGGUUGUAAACUUUUUUGGAUGGGGACGAAGAAAUGACGGUACCCAUCGAACAAGCCACGGCUAACUACGUGCCAGCAGCCGCGGUAAUACGUAGGUGGCGAGCGUUAUCCGGAAUUACUGGGUGUAAAGGGCGUGUAGGCGGAUGAACAAGUCUGAUGUGAAAUCUUGCGGCUUAACUGCAAGCUGUCAUUAGAAACUGUAUAUCUUGAGUGUCAGAGGGGAAAGUGGAAUUCCUAGUGGAGCGGUAAAAUGCGUAGAUAUUAGGAGGAACACCGGUGGCGAAGGCGACUUUCUGGCUGACAACUGACGCUGAGGCGCGAAAGCGUGGGGAGCAAACAGG
rnacentral:rRNA from 1 species